AGUCCCCCGAGAGCGGAUGCCGCGGCGGGCCUCUGGGAGAGGGGUUAUCUUCUUUCUGCUGCUGUAGCUGCCAUGGGCAAAAGAGACCGAGCGGACCGCGACAAGAAGAAAUCCAGGAAGCGGCACUAUGAGGAUGAAGAGGAUGAUGAAGAGGACGCCCCUGGGAACGACCCUCAGGAAGCGGUUCCCUCGGCGGCGGGGAAGCAGGUGGAUGAGUCCGGCACCAAAGUGGAUGAAUAUGGAGCCAAGGACUACAGGCUGCAGAUGCCGCUGAAGGACGACCACACCUCCAGGCCCCUCUGGGUGCCGUCAGCGUUGGGCUGCAAACCAGUGACAUCACCGAGUACCUCAGGAAGCUCAGCAAGACUGGAGUCCCUGAUGGAAUUAUGCAGUUUAUUAAGGCAAGUGACAGCUGAGGCCAGCAAUUCCACCUGCCCUGCUAAUGUAACAAUGGGCAUAGGUGCUCCAUGUUGUCAGCCUGUGGCAGCCAUGAGAAUGUGCCAUUCAGAUUUCCUGUGGGGAGCGUAACGACUGAUUACCCCAGCCGCUACACUCCGGAUCCAGC
rnacentral:sRNA from 1 species